AUCAUGUGGAUGUCGAGUCCUUGCUUUAAAGUCUGCCGGCAGCGCGUGACGCACUCUCUCUCAUGUGAAAUCUCCGCACCAGCAGAGGUGAUUUGCCUCGAAAAAUUAGAAGUACACUUCAACUGACCUACGGUAAGUCUAGUGUACUUUGUUAAUUUUCACUUAAUGUUAAGGCUAUAUAAUCAAGACCAUUGCAUAGUUAAUUAUAAAGAAUUAUGAUUUUCUUGAAUUACUGAGACAAAAUACACAAGUUUUUUUUUCUUUCAGAAUCAAACCUGUACACAGAGAUUCUGAAAGCUCAGAGUCCUCAGAUUCUCCAGUCCAGUGCUAGCAGAGGAGGUGCAAACCUCCACCUGAGAUCCAUGUGAUACAGAAUCUAAAAGACCUGAGAAAUGCUGCAUCUAACUAACAACUUUCGUCCACAAUGAUUAAUGAAGGAAAUUACUCUUUCAGUGAUAAAAGUACAUUCUUAUUGAUUAAAGACUAAAUUCUCUCAUAUAGAAAGUGAAGAAACAUUAAGAAACAAUUUGGCAAGACAUCUGCAGUGGCUACAGUACCUGAUAAUUCAAUAUUAGAUGAAUUUCUGCCAUUGGGUACAUAUGAAGAUAUGACUGCCUUUGAAAUGAAGCUUACAGCAGACUCUGAUUUCAAACUGACAUUGGAACAUCAAUUGUGUAUCCUUGGGGGCACAAUCAUUAAAAUGGCAGUGAAAUACAUGAUUGAUUGCUGUUUUGUCAAGCAGUUGGCAGCAUCAGUUCAACUGGAAAGGCUGGCUUGAAUGGAAGAUAAAAACAAAUGAGUGUAAAAUAAGGCUUCAAGAAUACUCACUUAUGUAAACUCAUGAUGAGUAAGUAUAGUAAAAUGCAUCUGUAUUCCUUCAAUUCAGUUUUACCAUGAUCUGCUAUUACAACCAUGAUGAUUUGCUAUUACAAAUAUGAAAGCUGGUAACACAGUAUACCAAGCAACUUUUGUGAAUUGCAGAUUUGAAUUCCAGCUGUAGAGAGAUUGGUUCUCACCAUAUAACAUUAUACUCUUGGUGAUUGAAGAGGGGAGGCUGAGACAUGCUCAGUUGCACAAGUCUGACUUAGGAGUAUUUUUAUGGAUCCUGUAUAAUAUAACUUCUUUUGUAAUCAUUUUCAGGUAUUUUAGUGACCAAACCAAACUUGAAGACUGACUAAGGUUCACAAAGCCAUAAUGAUCUAUUUGAGGAAUGCAGGGGAUGGUGUUUUGGUUGAAAUUGAUGCAUUGAUCUUGAUUCAAGUACUAGUGAAGAGUCGUUGUAAUUCAGAUCAAGACCACUGAAAAGUAGGUUGUGCCAUUUGAAGUGUUAUUAUCAAUUGUUAAGGUAUGUGUUUCUCAUAGAGGCUGAGUCUGUACAGUCAUGGUGGAUAUUCACCAUAACUAACACAAAUCUAUGUGAAUACUAUAUUUUCAAUUUACGGAAAAGGAAUUCAUUUUAAGAGUUGAUCAGGUAUAUAAGUGGGUGUUUGUGCACAAACAAUGGAUGAUCUAACCAUCAUCUGCAUCUUGGUAACACUUGAUAAAUUAUAUACUCUAUUAAAGGGAAUGUUAUUUACUACAGAUACUUGUUUACUGAUAUUAUAUUAUAGUCCCAAGAAACUCAUUGGGUCUCAGUGUUGUACAAUCUUAUUUUUGUAAUAUAAUGAUGCGGCUUUUUCACCACAGGAGAGGUCAAGAGUGCAUGACAGUAUCACAUUAUCUAUCAUAUCUACAUGUUUUCAUAUAUGUAUGAAUAACAUGAAAUGGCAUGAUAGCCCUUGCAAAACUCUGUGCAAGCUAAGAAAUUAACAUAUAUGUACAACUCAUAUUUUGAGUAAUGUUUAUACACAAUCACAAUAUCAGAGUCAUCAUAUCUGAUUAUAUUUACUACACAUCCUAUAAGAUUAGGUUUUAUCAUUACUCCUUGAUUAGUUUAAUUUGUUUUAAUACAAUAGUCCUCAAAAACUAUUUCUUUAAACUGUUUGCUUGGGAAUGGCUCUACUACUGGUCCUGACAAUGCUGUUACCUGAGCAUUGGGUAUUCAGGUGCUGGGGAUACUAAUUUUAUUGACUUACAUUCUUUUAACUAGUUCUGUAAGGACACAAUUAUUCAGACAUAUAUGAAAACAUCUAGAUAUUAUAGAUGAUGUGAUAGUGUCGUGCACCCUAGGUCAACAAAAUGAUGGCUUUUGGAAUCCCAGUUGCAGCACUAAUAUGCAUUACUUUCUCAAACAAUGUGCCAGUUUUUGUUUCAUUUGUUUAUUAUGUUAGUGGUGAUGCAAUAAGUGUGUAUGGGAAAUUAAAAUUUUUAAAGGAGUGGUGUGUCAGUGCCAUGGAUGUCAAUGAUGACUUGAUUUAGUAUCCCUCUAUUUAGUGUUUAUUAUAUUACUGGCAUUUAGUUAUUUGCUAUUUACUUAUUUAUUUUAAUUAACUCAUUAUAGUACUUUUACUUAAUGUUUAUUAGUAUUUAUUUCUGUAUACCAAAUUAUUGUUUAGUUUAGUUUUUAUUACUGUUUACCAAAGGACUUACAAUGUAUUUUUAAUUA